AGGAUAAACGCUGGCGGCGUGCCUAACACAUGCAAGUCGAACGUCCUUGCGGUCUUCUUCUUCGGAGGAGGACCGCGAGGGAGUGGCGGACGGGUGAGUAACACAUGGGUACCUGCCUUUCAGUGAGGAAUACCGGCGAGAAAUCGCCGACAAGACCGCAUAGGCUUCCUUCGGUAGCCCGAGGGAAGCAAAGUUACUUCGCGAGAGGUGACGCUGGAAGAGGGGCCUGUGGCCGAUUAGCUAGUUGGGGGGUAACGGCCUCCCAAGGCGACGAUCGGUAGCUGGUCUGAGAGGACGAUCAGCCACACUGGGAUUGAGAACGGCCCAGACUCCUACGGGGGGCAGCAGUGAGGAAUUUUCCGCAAUGGACGAAGUCUGACGGAGCAACGCCGCGUGCAGGAGGAAGGUUUCGGAUCGUAAACUGCUUUUCUCGGGGACGAGCAAGGACGGUACCCGAGGAAGAAGCCCCGGCUAACUACGCGCCAGCAGCCGCGGUAA
rnacentral:rRNA from 1 species